AAUAUAAUCAUCUAUCUCUACAUGCAUAUAUGGCAGGUAGUGUUGUAAGUUUUAGCGUAAAACAAAUUUUCUCCUACAACAAGAGGGGCUAAAAGCAAAAUAUUACUACGCUGUUGGUUGUUAAUGAGAUGGUUCCGCCAACCAGUUCUCAUACCCAGGUUAUCAAUAAUACCCUCAUCAAAUAUAUGUAAUGGUGUUGAGAAUUCCAGAUAACUUCAGUUCCUUUGGCUCAAGUUGUCCAUGACCGUGGACACGGCUAAUCGAUUAGGUUUGAGUACUCUGCAAAGUUUCGCACACGUUCCCCACAAGAUUCGAUCGCCUCCGUGUAUGUC
rnacentral:lncRNA from 1 species